rnacentral:RNase_P_RNA from 1 species
UUUUGGGGCCUGAUUGUCGCUCCGAGUUCUUUGAUCCCAAGGCGCGGGUAAUGCCGGGCCGGUUAGAUGCUUGGAGAGGAAAGUCCGGACACCACCGGGCAGGAUGCCGUGCGAGGGCGACCAAGCACGGGCGGCUGGCGUCAAGGCCCGUCGACGGACAGUGUCACAGAGAACAAACCGCCCGCCGUCGCUCGGCUUUGCCGAGCUAUGGCGCGGUAAGGGUGAAAAGGUGGGGUAAGAGCCCACCGCGCCAACGGUGACGUUGGCGGCACGAAAAACCCCAUCCGGUGCAAGGCAAAAUAGGAGACUGGGCGGCCCGUCCAACAGUCUCGGGUAUGCCGCAUCCGCCUGCGCUCCACGAAAGUGGAGCGACGGCGCGACAAGUCCGCCGCAAGGCGGGUUUGAGAGAAAUGACAAUCGAAGCACCGCAAGGUGCGGAACAGAAUCCGGCUUACCGGCCCCAAAACUAG